rnacentral:lncRNA from 1 species
UGAUCCGACAGAUGUGGGAGGGACGCGUGAAGAAGUACAAAACGCGGCAGAAGAAGGAGGAAGAGCGGAUCAGUAAAAGUGCUCUGGCCAAGGUGAAUCAGCAGUGGCAGUAUCGCAUUGCGUGCAGAAAGCUGAAGAGUGCUGAGGUCACAGCGCUGCAGUGUUACCUGGAGAGAUCCACGCUCGGCGAACUACAACUCCUGCCCACCGAGAAUAAAGACAAUGAUGCAGACAGCAAGAAGUUCAUUUUUGAGCUGAAUGGAAAAAAAUGGAUGGUAACCACCGGAAAAAGCUUUAUCAAAGAUGUUUUUCAAAUGCAUUCGUGAUCCAACUAUGAUUGUGAUCUCCA